UUCUGCAACAUACGUCAUGGUGAUGUUACUAGAGAAAAUGGUGCGGCCCCUUUAAGAGCUACACGCACGGGCUACGGAGGGGGAGAGCGCAUGAGGAAGUUGUGUUGUUGUUGUGAUGACGGAGUGGAUGUAGCGGCCGGAGAAUUGUCUGUACUGUAACUUUGUUACUCAGUGUUAGAUUAAUAAAUCCUCAAAGAAAGUAAAGCGGACUUUUAUUCACCAACCCCGGGACGAAGGGAAUUAACCCCAAAGUUUACUUAGCCGACAGUACUUUGGCCCUGGAGCAGACAGCAACGCCUCCCCCUGCAAACUCCGACUACGGUCAGAGACGGACCGGCAGGAAAGAUGGCCCGUGCAAAGUCAUGCCACCAGUCUGAGGACAUCACUGGGAAUGGCACAUGGGACACGUGGCUUUCAACUCCAGCGAGGUGGGCUUCACCGCGGGCAAUCGUGGCAAAGACCCAAGUCGACUGGACCACAGCGGAAAAUGAUCCUUCCAGAGAAGAAGUUAUUUACUUCUACAACGAAUGGAAGAGUUACAACUUCCAGAUGACAGCUCGCCGCUCAUCCUUCUGGGCAACUUGAACAUCCGACAGAACUUAUGUGACCUACUGCGUUUAUUUUCUCCUUUAGCUCUCAUUUAAGUAUUAAAAUUCGCUGUAUUUUUGCAAGAGAGGCACCAAUCCUAUUUGAGUGACGUUUCGAUUGUGAAAUUGUAUUGGACCAUAUAGGUCAUCUGCAGAGCGUUGGCCCCUGGCGCAGUAAACCAGGGUUUGAUUCUUGGCAUGCACAAGACUCCUCAUGUGACUUAAAAUGAAUCCAGAAUGCAAUAUUUGUUCAGUAUGCAAGGGCAGUGAUUUAUUUAGUCAUGUUUGGUCAUGUUUUGGUUUUUUUACAUGACAAUAUGGUUUGGUACAUGCUGAGUUAAUGAAUAUACAUUCUAAAGUGCAAUGUCCAUAUGUGAAUAAGAGUUGUAUACGUUUAUCAUAGUCAACAUGGUGUGGAAAUAUCCCUUAUGUAGUUGGUCAAUGGGAACUAUAGUAGGCCGUAAUAACAGCUAAGGUAAUUACAGGUGGAUA